UACGGAGGGUGCAAGCGUUAUCCGGAUUCACUGGGUUUAAAGGGUGCGUAGGUGGCUUUGUAAGUCAGUGGUGAAAUCCCGGGGCUCAACCCCGGGCCUGCAGUGGAUACGGGCUGGCUAGAGGCAGGCAGGGGAGAACGGAAUUCCUGGUGUAGGCGGUGAAAUGCGCAGAUAUCAGGAGGAACACCGGUGGCGAAGGCGGUUCUCUGGGCUGACACUGACGCUCAUGCACGAAAGCGUGGGGAGCAAACAGG
rnacentral:rRNA from 1 species